UAAGUUACAGUAAGUUAGUGGUUAACUGAGCUACUGAAGAUUGUACUGAAGAUGCAUGAGUAACAGUAAUCUAUUGUUGUUUUGGAGGUGUUGAUUGCCAUUGUGCAAUUUGAUUCCGUUUUAAAAUAAUGCACAUCUUGGUUUGGUUCAGUUUGAACGUGUGCAAUCAAAUUGAUUUGAAGUAGAGCUGGAUCCACGGUGAGAAAUGGAUUUAUAAUAGAGCUGGAUCCAUUGUUCUGAGUUUCUUAUGCAGUAGGGUUGGAUCUUUAGACUCACAACAUUUCUUUUGCUCUGAUUCAGGUUCGUUUUUGUGUAUUGCUCUUUACUGUCAAGUCUGGAGUUGGUGGUUCUUGAGUGAGCUGCGGAAGCUACUACCGUCUGUUAUCUGCUCCAUCUGUGCGCCGACGAACAAGUUAAUUAGGUGGCUUGGUGUGUGCUUGUCGACCGCCAUGGCCGACAACUCAUCGUCCUCGACAUUACAUUCCUUUGCACAUGUGUUUGGCCAUCUUUUGGUGCAUGCGAUGGUCUUGUGGACUGCUGUGUUUGUUGUUUGUGAUUCAAGCCAUCACUAGCUACUGUGAUAUGUUGUGCAAACUACUGUCAUCUCUAAGAAUUAUGUAACAUUCUUUAUGUUGACUACAUAUUAGUUACACUGAUGCACUUUUGGUUCUGGAGCUUUAGCAGAACUAUAUGGUUUGCUUUUGCUAUCUAAUAACCCAACUAUAGUACUUGCUGAGGACCCAUCAUCUUGGCUUAAUUCUGCAACCAAUUAUAUAUCUGUAUUUCCAAUUUGGCAUGAACUUCCACAUCAACUGUUCUAUUUUGCAUCCUGCUUGCUUUGCUUUUGUUAUAUCCAAUUUUACUGCCCCUUUGUAUUGCUUUGAGAAAAUGUUCCAGGC
rnacentral:lncRNA from 1 species